CACAAUCUGUAAAUCAGGUUAUUGUAAUUGUGUUAGUGGGUUACCUGUAAAACUAUUCAAUUCUGUAAAAUUAGGUUAGGAUUCUUAAAUGCUUGUUAGGACGUUCCACGAGCUUUCAAUAAGAUAUUGUGUUAAUGUCACAUAAUUAAUUUUUUUUUCUUCAGUUUUUCGAAUUUCACGGUACUUGUUGUUUAGAUUUUGUAUUUUAAACUGAUGUUAAUGAAAUGAAUAAAACUAUAUUUUAUCAAUUGUCUUAUUCUCUCUUAAAUUCGUAGAUAUUAUCAUGACUUUCAAUAUAGAGGAUAUUCAAAUUUUAUGUCCAAUCUAUAUGCUUAUAAAAAAUCUUUAAUACUACUAUGCCCUAUAUUUUAUAUUAUUAUACUUUUGGUUUUUCUCACAGGUUUAAUUACUUGCUUUUUAGUUUAUUUGAAACUUGUAUGCUUUGGUUUCUUUUUAAAAGAGUGACAAAAAAACUAGAACGUCACUGAUGAUAAUGAAACAGCAAUAAUUCGGUUUAUGAAAAAUUGCAAUUAGUUACGACCAAAAACCAAAAUUAAUUGGUACUAUCUAAUCUCUAUUCAAACAACAAUAGGCUUGCAGAUUAACUACUAUAUUACAACAUAUAAGAAUCGGGCGACUUAUUUGUAGACCUUAAUUUUUUAUAGGAAAAUUAUAAAUUAUUAUGUAAAAAUUCAUAACUAAAGCAAAAUAAAAAUGUACUCCAAUCACUUACUACGAGAACUUUAUAUUGUCUUCACGAUAAUAAAUGAUCAAUUUCAUUUAAAAAGGGUAGGUUUCUGUUACAAACCAAAUGGGUUCAACAACACAAACAAAGGAAAAAAUAAAAUAGACAACAGCAGCUCCAAUAUUAUGCAAGAGAAAGGUCCAAAAGAUCAGCCCAAUUGCCCAUUAGGUUCAGAAUAUGAACAAAUAUCUUGCGGUGAUAGCGUGUGAGCUGUCAUAGUACUAUCUCCAGCCCAGCCUUUAUUACCGUUAGUACCUGCAAUAUUUAGGAUAAGAAUAAUUAGUUUCUCUUCUUCAAAUGUAGUAGAUGCUGACCAGUGUCUCUAGAUCCUUAAUUAAAGCCCAUUGUAUUCUUUGCAGUCUAUUUAAGGACACAAAAGUAAUGAAAAAGGCCAGAAAAUUAUUAUCUCAAAAUCUAUCUUUUCUCUCAGACUUUCCCUGACACAAGGGAAUUUAAUUCCUGCAUAUUUUUCUUAAUAAUUUGUGCUCUCAUACUUGAUAUCAUGCCCUCCCCGACAACAACCACCUGAACCACCUACCCCCAAACACUACCAAGAAUCCAUUAGCAACCUCACUGCAGCCUUUCCUCUUUCCGGAACACUCAAGACCAACGCCAUGAGGAUUAUUUAGCUUCCAUGGAAUCUCUACAAUCCCAAAUUCCUAUCCAAGCCCAGAAUUCUCCUAACCAGGGCACCCCGCACACAGAUCUCACGAUGAAACCACCCAAGUUACGCCUCUUGCCUUUUGACGGCACAAACCCCCUCGAUUUGGUCUUCCAAGCUAACCAAUUUUUCGCUCACUACGCCAUUCCCCACCACCAACGAUUAGCUCAUGUUGCCGGCUACAUGACUGGUGACGCCCUUGGUUGGUACCAAUGGAUGUUCAACAAUCACCUCCUUUCAACAUGGGAGGCUUUCACACGAGCUUUGGAGGUUCGUUUUGGACCCUCUGUUUACGACAACCAUCAACAAGCCCUUUUCAAACUCAAACAAACAGCAUUAGUUGUUGACUAUCAACGGGAUUUUGAACGUCUUUGUAAUAGGGUAACAGGUCUAUCACCUUUGGCUAUCACUGACUGUUUUGUCUCAGGUUUAAAAUUCCAAUAGGUUUUACUUGAACAACAGGUAGUUGGAUGUAGGUAAAGGGUCGCCAUAGGCCUUGCAAAGCUCAUUGAAUCCAAAACCUCUGUCACACGGCCUUUCCAAGCUACUACAUCUAAAUAUCCCAACCCAAAACCCCCGCAUCAAUUACCCCAACGUAACACACUCCCUCAAACCCCUUUUCCUAUUAAACGAUUGACUCCCACAGAGAUGCAACAAAGACGCAUACAAGGAUUGUGUUUUAACUGUGAUGAGCGAUUUCAUCCUGGCCACCGUUGUAAAUCCAAACAAUUCUUGUUACUCCUGGAUACCGAUGACUCCACACCGACAAAUGCUAAUUUAUGUUCUCUCAUUACACAAACAAACCCAAUCCCAUUACUCGAAUCCCAAACAGAUCCUGAAAUUACUCAACAAGACACAAAUGUCACCAUUACAGAACCACUUAACAUUAAACCAACAUUAUUCCAAUUGUCCCUCAAAGCUGCCACUGGCCAUCCCUCCCCCCGCACCUUACGCUUCACUGCAUCCAUUCAUGGCCAUCACAUUACAUUUUUGGUCGAUUCAGGCAGCUCCCAUAACAUCAUUCAACCGCGCGUAGCCUCUUUCUUACACCUCCCUAUCCAACCCUUGUCAUCUUUUUCAGUGAUGGUAAGUAAUGGUGAUCACUUACAUUGCACAGGUAUUUGCAAAGAGACCCCUUUAAUGGUUGACCAACAUCUUUUCACGGUUUCCCUUUACGUUCUUCCUAUCCAAGGGGCUGAUGUGGUUCUUGGGGUUCAAUGGUUGCAAACUUUAGGGUCAUUUGUCUCUGAUUUUAGUGUUCCUAAAUGGUUGACCAACAUCUUUUCACGGUUUCCCUUUACGUUCUUCCUAUCCAAGGGGCUGAUGUGGUUCUUGGGGUUCAAUGGUUGCAAACUUUAGGGUCAUUUGUCUCUGAUUUUAGUGUUCCUUCUCUGCAGUUUUAUCACAAUGAUGCUCUCCUCACCAUCACUGGUUCUAAACCUAACACCCUAACACAAGCUUCUUCCCACCAACUACACUGAAUGCUACAAACUAAUGCCAUCGCAACCUUUCACUCCAUUUCCAUGGUCCCCACCCAUCCCACACAUAUUUCACCACCACAAAGCACCAAUCCUUUAACAUAUGCACAACUCAUUCAAACCUUUCACCCUGACAUACAAUCUAUCCUUAAUAACUACCUUCCCAUUUUCUCAAAACCACAAGGUUUACCACCUUCAAGAUAUCAUGACCAUCACAUUCACAAUGCUACUCCUAUCAACAUCAAACCAUACCAAUACCCCCGCUAUCAAAAAGAAACCAUGACCAACCUUAUUAAGGAAAUGUUGCAAGAUGGGAUAAUCCAACCUAGCACUAGCCCAUAUUCCUCACCCGUCCUACUAGUGAAAAAAAAGAUGGCUCCUGGCGGUUUUGCGUAGAUUAUAGGGCUCUUAACAACAUCACCAUCAAGGACCGUUUCCCCAUAGCAACCAUUGAUGAGCUCUUAGAUGAGUUACAUGGAGUAACCUAUUUCUCCAAAAUUGAUUUAAGGUCCGGUUACCACCAAAUUCGUUUAGUUCCGGAAUAUUUUCACAAAACUGGUUUUCGCACGUUUGACGGCCACUAUGAAUUUCUAGUGAUGCCUUUCGGCUUAUCUAACGCCCCCUCAACCUUCCAAGCCGCCAUGAAUGACCUCCUUCGACCCUACCUCCGCAAAUUAACCCUCGUCUUCUUUGACGACAUCUUAAUCUACAGCCCCACAUGGGAAUUACACCUCACUCACAUCAACCAAGUCCUAGCUUUACUUGCUACCCACCAAUUCUAUGCUAAACUAUCCAAAUGCCAAUUUGGGGUCCUUUCUAUUGACUAUUUNCAUAGUUAAUUCCUCAAAGUAAUUGGGCUGAGGCCCGAAUGGCCAGGAAAAUGGGUACUGGUGCCUAAGAUGAUCUUCAAGCCAUAACCCCGGAGGAAUUUAUCUCGGGAUUAGAGUAACAGGUGUUUUGGCCGAUUAUGGUAACUUCACUUGUAGGGACAGAUUCGACCCUUGACCUUCAGGCCCCUAAUAUUCUGUUGAACACAAAUUGUAGGGUUUACCUCCAUGGACAGAAUACUUUUGCCCUAGGCAUUUAUGUUUAUAUGCAUCUUCCUCCAGUUUUUCCAUGUCAGCAAGAUAUUUGUUCACAUUCUGAACACUUUGGGCAUAGGUUUUGAAUCUUUGGACCUUUCUCUUGGCAAAAUAUUGGAGCUGGCUGUUGUCUAUUUAUUUUUUCCUUUGUUUGUGUUGUUGGGACCCAUUUGGUUGUUUGUAACAUUACCGUACCCAUUGAAAGUAAAAUUUUUUUUUCUUUUUUUUGUCCUCAAAGAUUAAAGUGAGGGUACUACUUUGCUUGAAACAGUGACUUCUGUUCCCAAUUGCCUUCGGAAUUGGGAAUGUCUUCCCAUUGAAUCAGUACUUCUUUGAUUUCACGCAUGCAGAGGUUUGUGAGCUUAGCACACAAUUGGGGCCAGGUUCUUGAGGCGGAAAAGCUACCGGAUGCGGGAAGGGGGGAGAGCCUGAGUAACUGGUUGGCCCGUGACAAGCUUAAGGAGAGACACAGGAAAUUAUUCGGGUGGAUCCGGGAGGAAACGGAAUCUCGCAGCUCAUAAGCUACUGGACCAAUGCCCGGCGGAUGCGGAAAGGGGUCGUAGGUACGCUUUGGCUAGCUUCUGUGAGGGUCGAUUGUUGGACAGAACUUGUCGGUAAGGUUGUAAUUUCAAGAAAACCCAUUGAUGCAACUUCAAAUUUUGUUUUUGUCCUUUCGAUGGAAGGUUUUACUUGUUGAACCAUAACGAUUUCCUGGAUUUGGUGAGGUUUUCCUUUGAGCAUACGGAGGAUGCGCAGCUUUGUUGUGAAGUAAUUCAUCCAAGGUGUUGAUUUUUUGGAAUUUUCCAGUGGUGUAUGGAACAAAGGUGGGUGGUUUGUGACUGUAGAGGGCUUUCGAACAGAGUCAUACCUAUCGCAAAGUGAAAACGCUGUGUUAUAUACCAAAAUUCCCGGCAAGUGAGAGGAAGCCGAACCCAAAGUUGUGGGCUCGUCGCUCACAAACAACGCAGGUAAUGUUCAAAACAGCCGAUUUUACAACUUCAGCUUUUUCGCGUCGGUUUGAGGAUGGGUAAGAGCUACUGAAGAAAGUGUGGUUUCCCAGGCUGUUUUGCAACAAGGAGCGCCAAAACUGACUCGACGCAAAUAUACCGGUCUUGCCACUACAAAUUGUUUUUGGUGCCCCAUGGAGUUGUUAGAUCUCAGAAAUGAAAAUUGGAGCUAGUGAGGCAGCAGUGAAAACUUGCAGGUAGCCGAAUAAAUGGGCAAAUUUGGUGAGGCGAUCAACAAUGACCCAGAUGGUGGUUUUAUGGUGCGGACUGGGAAGGUUUGGGUUGAUGAAAUGCGCAUGGAGAUGUCAUCCGAAACUUGUUGAGGUAACGGUAACGGUUGGAGUAAACCGUAAGGGGCAUGGGGUGUUGUAUUUAUUGUGUUGGCAGUGGUGCAGCGAUUGACGAAUUGUUUGAUAUCAUCUCAGUGCAUACCGCGACCAAUAGAAGGAUGCUUUGAUACACGCGCCAAGGUAAAGCUUGAAUACCGAAGUGGCGCUCCUAAAGGUGAAGUCAAUGGAAUUCUUGUAGAAUUUUCCAAUAUCGAAGCCCUGUUUGCCAUUUCCGGUAUGAAAUAGUCCUAUCUUUGAAGUAGAGUAGGUCUGAUUGUGAAAACAAUGUUGGCUCAUUUGUGUCUCCUUGUGCUUUCCUGAUUAGAUUCUGACCUCAGGGUUUAGUAGAAAAAAAGAUUGUAAUUGAGAAAUAAAGGGGAAGAAAGGGAACUAAUAUUGCACAAGAUUUUCUCAAUUGGUGGCUCAUUACUCGAGAUAAUGCUCGGGACACAUUGUCUUUUCCAGGUUUGUAAUGAAUUCUAGUAUAAUCCCACAAGUUAGUUAACCACUUUUGUUUGCCUGGGUUUGGAUUGUUGUGUCAUGAACAUUUCAAACUCUUAUGAUCUGUGAAGAACUAAGAUGGAUCCUAACAAUAUGUCUCCAUUUUUUAGUUGCGUAGUUAGGCCAACUAUAAACUUCGCAAUCUGUGGAUGCGGCAGAAAGACGGGCGUUCAGCUUUUGCUGAAAAAAACGAUGGGUCCGGAGUUUUGGGCAAGAACACACCAAUGUGCUGGGUGGAUGCAAUCAUCGUGCACUUCGAAGGUUGGGAGAAAUCAGGUAAGGUAAGUGUAGGUGUUGUUCAUGGCUGUCUUUGAAGUGUCAACAGCGUACAGACUGCUUCGUCUGUCCAUUUGAAUAAUAUCUUUCUAGUAAAUUUGAGAGGGCUGGGCAAUAGAUGCGAUUCAACAUAAAAUGACUGGUAAUAUGCCCUGUGAAGUUGCCCAGGAAAGCCCUAAGUGCACGUAAUGUUUUUUUAGGUGGAGGCCAAGAGAUCAAUGGCCUGAAUUUUUGAAGGAUCAGGCUUGUACACCAUUUGCGCUGAAAUCAGUGUCCUAAAAUAGUCAUAGAACAGGACUCCAACAAGUAAACCUCCAUCGAAAGGACAAACAAUUUGAAGUUGAUCAAUGGGUUUUCUUGAAAUUACAACCUUACCGACAAAGUUCUGUCCAACAUCGACCCUCACAGAAGCUAGCAAAGCGAUACUACGACCCUUUCCGCAUCCGCCGGCGCAUUGGUCCAGUAGCUUAUGAGCUGGAGAUUCCCGUUUCCUCCCGGAUCCACCCUGUUUUCCAUGUGUCUCUCCUUAAGCUUUGUCACGGCCAACCAGUUACUCAGGUCUCCCCCCUUCCCGAUCCGGUAGCUUUUCCGCCUCAAGAACCGGCCCCAAUUGUUGUGCUAGCUCACAAACCUCUGCAUGGUGAAAUCAAAGAAGUACUGAUUCAAUGGGAAGACAUUCCAAUUUCCGAAGCAACUUGGGAACAGAAGUCACUGUUUCAAGCAAAGUACCCUCACUUUAAUCUUGAGGACAAGAUUUAUCUCAAUGGGUACGGUAAUGUUACAAACCAAAUGGGUCCCAACAACACAAACAAAGGAAAAAAUAAAAUAGACAACAGCAGCUCCAAUAUUUUGCCAAGAGAAAGGUCCAAAAGAUCAACCUAAUUGCCCAUUAGGUUCAGAAUGUGAACAAAUAUCUUGCGGUGAUAAGCGUGUGAGCUGUCAUAGUACUAUCUCCAACCUUUAUUACCGUUAGUACCUGGCAAUAUUUGGGAUAAGAAUAAUUUAGUUUCUCUUCUUCAAAUGUAGUAGAUGCUGACAAGUGUCUCUAGAUCCUAUAAUUAAGGCACAAUUGUAUUCUUUGCAGUCUAUUUAAGGACACAAAAAGUAAUGAAAAAGACAGAAAAUUAUUAUCUCAAAAUCUAUCUUUUCUCUCAGACUUUCCUUGACACAAGGGAGUUUAAUUCCUGCAUAAUACUACUAUGCCCUAUAUUUUAUAUUAUUAUACUUUUUGUUUUUCUCACAGUUUAAUUACUUGCCUUUUUAGUUUAUUUGACAACCUUGCAUGCUUUGGUUUCUUUUAAAGAUGACAAAAACUAGAACGUCACUAAUCAUAAUGAAACAACAAUAAUUCAGUUUAUGAAAAAUUGCAAUUAGUUACGACAAAAACCAAAAUUAAUUGGUACUAUCUAAUCUCUAUUCAA
rnacentral:lncRNA from 1 species